ACCACCUAUAAUCGUUUUAAUCGAUGGGGGGACGCAGUAGGAUAGGCGAAGCGUGCGAUUGGAUUGCACGUCUAAGCAGUAAGGCUGAGUAUUAGGCAAAUCCGGUACUCGUUAAGGCUGAGCUGUGAUGGGGAGAAGACAUUGUGUCUUCGAGUCGUUGAUUUCACACUGCCGAGAAAAGCCUCUAGAUAGAAAAUAGGUGCCCGUACCGCAAACCGACACAGGUAGUCAAGAUGAGAAUUCUAAGGUGAGCGAGCGAACUCUCGUUAAGGAACUCGGCAAAAUGACCCCGUAACUUCGGGAGAAGGGGUGCUCUUUAGGGUUAACGCCCAGAAGAGCCGCAGUGAAUAGGCCCAAGCGACUGUUUAUCAAAAACACAGGUCUCUGCUAAACCGUAAGGUGAUGUAUAGGGGCUGACGCCUGCCCGGUGCUGGAAGGUUAAGAGGAGUGGUUAGCUUCUGCGAAGCUACGAAUCGAAGCCCCAGUAAACGGCGGCCGUAACUAUAACGGUCCUAAGGUAGCGAAAUUCCUUGUCGGGUAAGUUCCGACCCGCACGAAAGGCGUAACGAUUUGGGCACUGUCUCAACGAGAGACUCGGUGAAAUCAUAGUACCUGUGAAGAUGCAGGUUACCCGCGACAGGACGGAAAGACCCCGUGGAGCUUUACUGUAGCCUGAUAUUGAAAUUCGGCACAGCUUGUACAGGAUAGGUAGGAGCCUUUGAAACGUGAGCGCUAGCUUACGUGGAGGCGCUGGUGG
rnacentral:rRNA from 1 species